rnacentral:rRNA from 1 species
CGCUUACACAUGCAAGUCGAGCGGAAACGAGAAUAGCUUGCUAUUCGGCGUCGAGCGGCGGACGGGUGAGUAAUGCUUGGGAACAUGCCUUGAGGUGGGGGACAACAGUUGGAAACGACUGCUAAUACCGCAUAAUGUCUUCGGACCAAAGGAGGGGAUCUUCGGACCUUUCGCCUUUAGAGUGGCCCAAGUGAGAUUAGCUAGUUGGUGGGGUAAAGGCUCACCAAGGCGACGAUCUCUAGCUGGUUUGAGAGGAUGAUCAGCCACACUGGGACUGAGACACGGCCCAGACUCCUACGGGAGGCAGCAGUGGGGAAUAUUGCACAAUGGGGGAAACCCUGAUGCAGCCAUGCCGCGUGUGUGAAGAAGGCCCUCGGGUUGUAAAGCACUUUCAGUCGUGAGGAAAGGUUUGUAGCUAAUAUCUGCAWSCUGUGACGUUAGCGACAGAAGAAGCACCGGCUAACUCCGUGCCAGCAGCCGCGGUAAUACGGAGGGUGCGAGCGUUAAUCGGAAUUACUGGGCGUAAAGCGUGCGUAGGCGGUUUCUUAAGCGAGAUGUGAAAUCCCGGGGCUCAACCUCGGAACUGCAUUUCGAACUGGGUGACUAGAGUACUGUAAAGGGUGGUGGAAUUUCCAGUGUAGCGGUGAAAU